GCGUCGGUAGUGCAACGGUUAGCAUACGCUCCCGGAAAGAACAAGAUCUGGGUUGAAUCCCGGCUGACGCA